UCUGUGGGCUUCUCUUCUUGGUUCUUCCUGAGACCUCUGGUCUCCUAAGACCCCUCUUGAUCUGGGGGGUGUGAGAAUGCCCCAGGGUGGGAGGGUUUUAGAUCCCUGAAAAGAGGAGACUGACCUCUCCUUCCUCCCCCUCACCCCAACCCGGAGAUUUCUUCAUCUGCCGAGACACCUUCCGGUGGCUGGGGAUAUGUGUGGACAGAUUGGCAGACUGGGGACCAUGGAUGCUGAGGAAAUCUACAUAAACCAGGAGGCCGGGAUGCAGGCAGCAGCCUUCAAAGACAAGCAACGGGAGGCCCCAGUCAAUAAAAAAGGUGUUGAUGACCCUGACUAUGAAAAUAUCACCUUGGCCUUCAGAAACCAGGACCAGCCAAAGGGCAAUCAUUCACCACCCAAGAGUGAGGUCCCAGCCUGGUCCAGGCCAUCCUCGGACUCUAUCCAGGCCUUCCAUUGGUUGCACAAAGCCAUCAUGAGCUUGUACAUUCUUCUCACCCUGUUUUCCAUCAUUCUGUUGGCCUGGGUCCUGGUGAAGAAUUCUGAGAUGUCCCAGGAGCUGCUGGUCUUGAAGAAGGAGAUCUGGAAUGUCUCUAGCUCAGCAUGUGAGUGCCAAGAAAGGCAAAAACAGGCCUGGAGCAACAUCCAGCAGAGCGUCAGUGAUGCCAAAAAGCGCAUUGACACUGUCAAGAAUGAUGUCCAGACUGGGAAUGAGAAACUGAAGACGCUGUCAGCAGGUGCCUCUGUGGACCUUCACUGCCCAGAUUGUGGUGCAGGGGAAUCUGGGGGGUGGAGUGGGUGGGGGACAGCCCUCCCAAGGAGCAGGAUUUGGAGUGGUGAUGGAUGUCCUUCCAGUAACUUGCAGGUAUUUAAAUGCUGCUGGGAACCCCCAGUGCUGGUCUCUGCAGCACCCCAGCCUGGGGGGUUGGGCAAGGACGGGACUUCCAAUAAAGGUGGGGGCCUUAUCUGAGGCCCCACCCCAGUUUUUUCCUGUCUUCUUCCACCCUAGGCAUAAGCCAAAUCACGACUCAAUUACAGAAAAUCUCUGAGCUGCUGCAGAAAAUGCCAAAUCAAUAGCCCACACAUAAAUAAACAAGAAAACAAGGAAGCCUGGAUGACAGGGUGGUACCUCCCAGUAAAGAUGAAACAUGGGGGCCCCAGCCUGGUCUGAACCUGUUCCUCAUCCCCACAUAUAAAAAAUUAUAUGUCAAAAAAAAAAUUAUAUGUCAUGGUGAAUGAGUGUUGUGGAGUUGUGUGUGUGCAGGGGUCAACAUUUCAUGGAGGGCAGUUAUUUCACUGUGUUCCACAAGAAGGUGUUUUGGGUGAAUAUUGAAUGUGGGAGUCACAGAGGGUGUGGUAUGCACACCUGUGUCUCUGUCCAUGUGACAUGUAUGUCUCAUAGUAUGUUGUGAGUGUCAUGCAUAUUACAGUGGGUGGCAGUGUCAGCAGGGAUCACAAAGGUGUGUUACAGUAAAUGUGGGUGUUGGUGACAUAUGUUACCCAUGCAUGUUUCACUGUCAGUGUGAAUAUGCAUGAAUAUCCUGCAAUGUUAUGUAUAAACGUGUCAUGGUGAAAGUGUGUGUGAAACACACUAUGGGAAUGUAACAUUGUAAUUGUAGGUGUCACAGUGUGUGCCCUGUCACUCCCCGUGCCUGCAUGAAUAACUGUGUGUCAACGUGACUGUGCCUGAUUAUGUCACUGAGGGUACUCAGAGCAUGUACACACGUGUGUCUGUUUGUUUCUCCAUUCACAUUUUGUGAUUCAUGGAAACAAAGGCCAAGGAAAAGAAAUGUGGCUUUCAGAUCUGUUAUUGAGGCGACUGGGGGGCUUUGGGGCGGGUGUGCCAAUGCCUGGACUUGGGGAAUGGGUAAAGUCACACAGUGAACAGAUGGACGUUAUUCCAGAAACGCUGGGGACACGAGGGUGUGUGAGGACGAUGUCCCGAGUGGGUCCCUGUGUCCAUGAACAUGUACCCACGUAGUAACUGAGUCCCUGUGCCCUUGAGUUUGUGCCCAUGAGGGUUUGUGGCCUGAGAUGUACAUGUGUACACAUGUGCACCUGAAACAGAGAUGUGUGCCCAUCAUCAAACGUGUGCCCCUGAGCAUGUGACCAUUGAUGCUACUGUCUCCCUGAGUGUGGACAAACCAAAGCCAGCUAGAGCCCAGGCCGCGGGACCGCACUCCUGGGUCGAGCUCCACGGACACACAGGCCCCCUAGCGGUAGGUCUUUGGAAUCACUGCGCGUGCGCCGAGCCCG